AAGGUUGUUCCAACAAGUCCGAUACAGUCACGGUAUAACAAUAUUGUUACAAUCUUGUGUCGUCAGCCUUGGAACAUUCUUGUUAUAUCAUGGCUGUAUCAGACUUCGUAGAACAACCUU
rnacentral:miRNA from 1 species